rnacentral:rRNA from 1 species
GGUUCGAUUCUGGCUCAGAUUGAACGCUGGCGGGAUGCUUUACAUGCAAGUCGAACGGCAGCCUGGACUUUCCCAGUCUGGUGGCGAGUGGCGAACAGGUGAUAAAUAUCGGAACGUGCCUAGUAGCGGGGAUAUGCGCGAAAGCGUAUGUCCGCAUACGCCCUUCGGGGAAAGCGGGGGACCUUCGGGCCUCGCACUAUUAGAGCAGCCGAUAUCCGGAUUAGCUAGUUGGUGAGGUAACGGCUCACCAAGGCGACGAUCCGUAGCUGGUUUGAAGGACGACCAAUACACUGGGACUGAGACACGGCCCAGACUCCUGCGGAGGCAGCGGUGGGGAAUUUUGGACAAUGGGGGAAACCCUGAUCCAGCCAUCCCGCGAUAUUGCGAUGAGGCCUUCAGGUUGUAAAGCACUUUUGGCAGAAAGAAACGGCGGGAUAAUACCCCGUGCAACUGACGGCCACCACCACAGAAUAAGCACCAACAACUACGUGCCAGCAGCCGCGGUAAUACGUAGGAGUGCAAGCGUUAAUCAGAUUACUGGGCGUAAAGCGUGCGCAGGCGGUUCGGAAAGAAAGAUGUAGAAAUCCCAGAAGACUUAACUUUGGAACUGCAUUUUAACUGCCAAGGCUAGAAGAUGUGUCCAGAGGAGGUGAAUUCCACGUGUAGCAGUGAAAUGCGUAGAUAUGCGGAGGAACACCAAUGGCGAAGGCAGCCUCCUGGGAUAACACUGACGCUCAUGCACAACGUGGGAGCAAACAGGAUUAGAUACCCUGGUAGUCCACGCCUAAACGAUGUCAACUAGCUGUUGGGGCCUUCGGGCCUUGGUAGCGCAGCUAACGCGUGAAGUUGACCGCCUGGGAGGCUACGGUCGCAAGAUUAAAACUCAAAGGAAUUGACGGGGACCCGCACAAGCGGUGGAUGAUGUGGAUUAAUUCAGUACAGCAUGAAAAACCUUACCCUUGACAUGUCUGGAAUCCCGAAAGAAUUUAGGAGUGCUCGCAAGAGAACCGGAACACAGGUGCUGCAUGGCUGUCGUCAGCUCGUGUCGUGAGAUGUUGGGUUAAGUCCCGCAACGAGCGCAACCCUUGUCAUUAGUUGCUACGAAAGGGCACUCUAAUGAGACUGCCGGUGACAAACCGGAGGAAGGUGGGGAUGACGUCAAGUCCUCAUGGCCCUUAUGGGUGAUGUCACAAUGGCCGGGACAGAGGGUCGCCAACCACGAGAGGCCAAUCCGAAGCCCAGUCGUCAGUCGGAUCGCAGUCUGCAACUCGACUGCGUGAAGUCAGGAAUCGCUAAGUAAUCGCGGAUCAGCAUGUCGCGUUGAAUACGUUCCCGGAGUCAUGCAUACACACCGCCGUCACACCAUGCGGGAGUGGGUUUUGCAGAAGUAGUUAGCCUAACCGUAAGGAGGCGAUUACUACGGUAGGAUUCAUGACUGGGGUGAAGUCGUAACAAGGU